UUCACCUGCGGCGGCGAGGGCCGCACCUGAGGCUGAGGCGGGGGAGGUGUACCUGCCGCCAUGUUGGACUUCGCCCGCCCCCACCGCCGGCCCUCAGGCGGUGCUGUUCGGCGGGUCUGGCGGGGACACGUCCUGCCCUCUUCGCCUGGCGUACGGGGAGCAGCACGCCGGGGAUUUCAAAAGCUGGGACUUAGCAGCCGGGGAGGCAGCGAAACCCUAUGGGGAAGGCUGCGUUGUCUAGAGACGUUCCGCUGUACUUGGCGCGGGUGAGGGGCGGCUCGAGUCCUGCGGCCAGUUCUGGGCCUCUCAGUUCUGGAGGGACAUUGAGGUUCUGGAGACUGUCCAGAGAAGGGCAGCGGAGCUGGUGAGGCGUGUGGAGUAGAAGUCUGAUGAGGAGCGGCUGAAGGUGUUUUGCCUGGAGAAAAGAAGGCUCAGAGAGAAUCUUACCGCCCUUUACAACUCCCUGAAAGGAGGUUGUAGCCAGAUGGCACUUUGGGAAGUCUAAGCCAACUAUUCCUGCUGCAUGCAUGCCUGAAUUUAUUACAUUGUUCUGCGGAGCUGAGAGAUUCUCCUUCCUGUUGGUCUGUCCCUGUGUGAAACAGGAAUUCACAGGACUAGAAUGAGUCAGAAAUGAAAGCAGGAGCCCCUCCCUCAAAGUUUGGACAUCUACUUGGAAACACUUAGAUCUCGCUCGAAGCUCAAAUGAUUUGUGAGGGCAAGUGUUCCAACUAAGAUCUUGCAGUUGGACACUUUGCCUUCACUAAGAUCAAGCUCUCAUGUCAGGCUCGGAUAUUCAGGGUUAUUUUCAUGAGAUGAAAGAAAUCUUAAUUAAGUGUUCAUAUCUUUGUCAGCCAGACUCAGAAUAAAAAUUGAUGCGAUUCCCUUGA